rnacentral:lncRNA from 1 species
GAGACAGUCACUGCCAAUGUUCUAUGCAGACAGAGCUAUGACUUGCGGGGACAUGUCGUCUACAACAAAGGGCAGGUCGGAGUUCCAAAUGGUUGGUUUUCCCAAAGGGCCACAUCCUGGGAGUAUCAAUGAGAACACCAUAGGGCUGUUUAUUUGGAGCAUGCUAGGGUAGAGGGUCCCUGCCGCUGUGAGGAUGACGACAGGAAGAGGAUGCCAUAGUGGGAAGUAAAUGAGAUUUGACACAUGAUGGAGUAGUGACUGACAAGUCAGAUUACUGGUCUCAGCUAUGCUCAGAAACAACAGGGUGUUGGCAAUGGCUCUCUGCAGAACGGGACAAACACAGCUUUAUAGAUCCAUAGCAUUAAAUGGAGACUGGAAGGGUUUGUGCUGGCUUUUAUGGACAGAGGAGGAAAAGCAGCAAAGAAGCGCGAUUCAGAAAGAGGGCGGCAGAUGCAGGAGAGUGUCGCAGAAAGCAGAUAAAACUCAAGAGUUAAUAAAAGCUCGGCCGGAGGAUGGUCAGCGAAGCAGCGAGGCUUAGGGGAGCUAAAUGUGAAGACAGGCUUCGCCGGGGCAUCCAAGGGUUGAUAGGCAAUGAGGCAUUGGAGGUAGCUGCGUUGUGUAAGGGACGUGUCUGACAGUAGGGUGAGCUCAAUGUAGCUCAGAAUCCCCCGCUGCUCAUGUCACCCAGAGGCGACACAACAGAGCCAUAAAUAAAAUGGACAAGAAGAAGCCCAGUCCUUUCCCCUGCAUGUGUGACCUUACACACGCGUUACGCUAAUUUGAUUGAUUAGCUGGAAUAACUUGUGAGACUUAGUUAUCUCCCCUUUUGAGUUGCUUCUACCCACAGGUCUUCAUGAUGAACUGCAAAUUCACAUUUUCCCCCUUCUUGAUAGCUUUCAGAGUUAUGGUCAUCUAAAUGUUAAUUUAAAUCUGAUUGCGUCCUCUUAUCGAAAGAGUUGAAUGUUCUGCACUUAGAGACAUUUAGGGUUGUUAGGCAGCGUGUUGUGUCGUUAAGGCACAUCUCCCAUCUGUUGCAUACAUAUCUCCUCAUCAGCGCUUUGCUACAGUGUUUCACAGGACAAAAGGAUUCAAUCCUUGCACAUAAGUGGAAAUCCAAUCAUGUGUUUUCAUUUAGCCCUUCAAAAUGCUGUUUGGAGAUAACAUAUUGUCUAUUCAGUCUUUCGCAGUUAUGCUGAGAACUGUGUCGCGAUAUCAGCAUAUGAUGAGCAGGGUUUAUGGACAUUUGGCUCUUCAGUAAUCAGCGUGUCUGUCUGUUCUAGCUGUACUUUUCCAUGGUAAUUUUUUUUUAUUGCUGUGGUGUCCCUGUGAACUGAUAUUAUUUUUAAAUAUCAGUUUAAGAUAUCACAGGAUUACGUCAAUUCUUACACUAGAAUAUUGACUAAAUCAAUUUGUGGUGUAGUACAAAAGGAACAAAUACACACAAAACUUAACUGAUUACAAAGCAAAUACAUGGGAACUUUGAUUAUCUUCUGAGAACUGGCAUUGGCUUUUAAUUUAUUAGAAAUUUGCAUUUAUUUAAUAACAUUUUAUUGUCCAUAUCUAUUAUCUGUUUAUACUAUAGUAAUAGAUAAAAGUGAGAGAAAGUACUUUAGUAUUGCAUAAAUUAUUAACAAUAACAACAACUACUACUACUACUACUACUACUAUAAAUAAUAAUAAUUAAUAUUUAAUAUUUGUCUUUUUUUUUACUUUUUCAAGUCUUGCCAAUGUUGUGUCAAGCUAGACAUAUUUAUUGCAUUAAGUGCAUUAUGCUGUCAGGCUAUUCCUUGAUAUUUACAAAAAUAUUAAGUAAUGGUAAGGUACAGUAAGAUGGUGAGUUCAGAAAAACUGAAAAACUACACUGAAACAAAUUAGGUGUAGAAUCAGUUUGCACUCAGAAAUUGCUAGUAAAUUUUACAAAUAAUUACAAAUAAUUAGAAAUUAACACAUUAAAUUGAUUGUAAAUUUGAAAACACAAAUAAUGAAUUGUUUUAUUUUUUUCACAGAUAGAUCAAUCUGUUCUUUACUGUAUUCAUAAUGUAAAUUCUCAUAUUUCUAUUGCAUGAGCAUGAUUUUUUUAUCCUUGAAUUAUCUCUAUACAAUGCAAAAAGCAGUAAAAAAGAAUUCUUGUGCCUUCUUUGGUGGUAUUUCAUAGAUACAGUCUCCAUAUAGUUUAGAUUGGAAGGUUAUUGUUCCAAAAUUAAAUCACAAUCCAAAAUCAGAGAUGCAAGUCACUUUAUUUUGCGCAGAUCUAACUCCAUACAGGCUUUUGAUGGCAGUGCCCUUUUGAUUCUGUUCUUUUCGGUGAGCUGCAAUUAAGGUAUUUAGGUGUUGAUUAGAGCAGCAGGGACAGACUCAGUGACAGUGAUUGUCACAGUAAACAGAUCCUGUGUAUUGAGCCAGGCUCCUCUUUUUCACAGAAUCCAGGUGUCACAUGGGUGCUGUACUCUAUAAAUACAUCAGACAUGGAUUUCAGAGAGAUGAGGAUGUUCUAAUGUGUAAUAGAUGAGCCAAAACUUUUUGUUUUGUAUGUACAUUUUUACAACUUUUCAAAUAGGAGUUUUAAAAAGAACAGUGUGUUACUUUGAGGAUGUUUUCUCCAACCCAAAAAGUUUGAAUUUCCUAAAAGCACAGUUAUAAUUUAUUAACAGGUACAUUAAAGGUCAGAUAUUUUCCCUACAUUCUAUUUCUAGUUUUGUGUGUGUCAUGUACUCUUCAUGUUGUUCUAAACCUUUAUGACUUACUUUCCUCUGUGGAGCCAAAAAAAAAAAAAACAACAGAGUAUCUGAGCUUCUUUUUUUGUUUGUUUAUUCAAAAGAAAAGGAAGUCAAAUAGGGUUUGGGUAACAAUUACGGUUGGGGUAAAGUAAUUAGGACGAAACAAAAAAAAAAAAACACAGAGUAUCUGAGCUUUCUUUUUUUGUGUUUAUCAAAAGAAAGGAAGUCAAAUGGGUUUGGAACAUUACGGUGGGUAAAUAUUGAAAGUAAUUUUAAUUUUUGUCCUUCAGGAACGCUCUUAGAAUGGAAGAACACUAGCUGAUGUGCGGGAGGAAAUAAAAGCAGGAAUGUGAAGCUUGUAUUUUUCCUAAAACACGUAUGCAAAUACUCUGCUAUCAUCCUGGAGUCCAGUUUACACUUUUUAUAUUCUUGUUCACAAUUUUGUUUAUAGCAAUACCUAUUUCUUGAUUCUCAGUUUGCGUACCUUUUUUUUUAUUAAGGCUGCAUUAUAAUCUUAAAUUAUCCUUCCUCUGCCAUAUUCCCUUCUUCCUCCACAGUGAGGGCUUUGGAGCAAUGAAGUGAUAUUUUCAUUUAAAAGCACCUUUAUCUCAUCCUUCCUGUUACUGUUGCACAGUGACUGACAUUAAUGAAUAUUCGUUGAUUAAUGCACAAAUAAAUCUAAUUUGAGAUCUUUACACAUGGAUUGGCCACACUAAUAACCACUUUUGCAAUGUAAACAAAAAGACAUGAUUUGAACGGGCUGUACUUGAGAAGAAAUUUUGAAUGCUUCAUUAUUAAAAUCUUUUAUUGUUUCAUUUAUUUGACCAGAAAUUGGUCAAAAUCAUGUUGUUAUUUUUGAGCCCUUUGGUAGUGAAAGUCAAAAUGUCUACUAUAAUUGUUUCCCCUUCAAGGUUUGCAUAUUCAUCAUGUUUGCCAUUUGAAGCACAUGUGUGUAACCCAUCGUAUGUGUACUACUUUGCAGUGUGUGUAUCUGAUAUUCCACAGUAGCCUGGCUGAGGAGUCCAAGGACUCCGUUGAAAUUGCAUCUUUCAUAAUUAUUAAACAGUUCUGUCAAAUCUAGCUGAAAUUAACACUUAAAUAAAUAUACUGACCCAUGUAACCCAUUAGACGUAGAAAUGUCUCUGCCAUAAUGAAGGCAGUGUCUUUUGAUACCACCGCUCUCGAUUCAAACCUGUCAGGUAUAUUAGGUUACUGAUGAGUUUCAUACAUCAACUGAUCAGAAAGCUUUGGUUCUUCAGAUCGACUGUAUUUGCAUAGAGUGUUUCUUUUCUGUGUACCCGUGUGGGUAUGCAUUUCUUAGCCCUUCAGACAGGAAACGGUGUUGUAGCUCAAUCAGUGUGGCGCAAAAUGUGAUGAAUACAUCUGCUCUUAUGAUGCCCAAUAACCUAGUGGCUUAUUACAGUGAUAUUACUACUCCAUCCUUGACAGACCGAUCCCUUCCCAACCAGCCAGAUAGGGGCCUCCUCUACGCCUCUUCAGCACUCAUCUGAAAUGUUUAAGGGAAAUUGCAAUAUGACAGGGAUCAGUAUAGGCCAAGCAAUAACAGAAAGUCAGAUUGGAAAGGAUUAAACUUGUCUGACUGCUAUUAUGCAUUCACUGAUUUCAGAAGGGGGGAUCAAUCUUUACCAAAUUUAUUGUUGUCCCUUUUUUCUGCGCACUCAAUCUGUUCCAGCUACGAUGUUGCACGUUGUUUGACACCUAUGGGCCACAAUUCUUUCAGCGUCCAAUCGGUGGGAGCCAACGACAUCCAUUAAAUAUUAAAAUGCCUCUCAAUCCUGCAAUUAUUCAAGACUGAUCGCUUCCAAACUGCUAAAACUGGCCCAAAGCCCCAUUUUGUAAUGAUCAGAGCUUUUCCGUGUUCACGUCGGCUUUGGAAAGCAGA